GAUGAACGCUGGCGGCGUGCCUAAUACAUGCAAGUCGAGCGAACAGACGAGGAGCUUGCUCCUCUGACGUUAGCGGCGGACGUGUGAGUAACACGUGGAUAACCUACCUAUAAGACUGGGAUAACUUCGGGAAACCGGAGCUAAUACCGGAUAAUAUAUUGAACCUCAUUGUUCAAUAGUGAAUGACGGUUUUUCUGUCACUUAUAGAUUGAUCCGGGCCGCAUUAGCUAGUUGGUAAGGUAACGGCUUACCAAGGCAACGAUGCGUAGCCGACCUGAGAGGGUGAUCGGCAAAAGUGGAAGGGAGACAGGGAACAGAGUAAGAAGGGAGGCAGCAGUAGGGAAAAGGAGGAAAGGGGCGAAAGAAGGAGGGAGAAAAGGCGCGUGAGUGAAGAAGGUCUAAGGAUCGUAAAAAACUGUUAUUAGGGAAGAACAAAUGUGAAAGAAAAUAUGCACGAAUUGACGGUAACUAAACAGAAAGCAACGGCUAACUACGUG
rnacentral:rRNA from 1 species